GAAUUGAUACUAUAUAGAUAAAACUGAAUUAAAUUUAGUUUAACAUGUAGGACAUUUGUUAUUUUUAAUGGUAGGGCUUAUGGUAAAUGAACCAUGAAUUAUUAGCUUAUUUCCUGUGUUGCUGUGUAUGCUGACUUCUAUGACAGGCACCAGUGAUGAACCCACUGAAAUAAAAAUAUGUUAAAUUGAAAGUCAUUAUCAAGCAUAGCCAGCAACAUACAGUUGAACCUCUGAUACAGAUACUGUAUGACAGAAACAAGUAGACCACAUUCUUUUGAACUAGAACUAUUAAGUUUUCUCAUUAGCCAAGGUUGUAGAUCUAUAACCAAAACAAUUUACUGGUAUGUGCGUAAAGUUGCAUAAUCACUGAGGUAAACCAGUUGGCAAAUUACUCGUUUGAUGACCUGUCUGUUUUUUUUUAUUUACCACAUGCAAUUAUAUUUUACAUUUUAACAAUUAUGUCCUUGCAUGCAGUAAAUUCUAACAUUUGCUAUCAACAUUUUGGGCUGUAUAAAUGUUUGAGUCUGCAAUCAGUUUGUCUUUGAGUCAAGGUGGUACAAUGCAAAUGUUUGGUUUGUGGACAGAAAGAAUAAUUGUUCUUCCUUGUGUUUAGGUUUGCUGGCUGAGAUUAAACUCAAAAUACAGCAGGUAGAGGAAAUGGUGGGACUUUGUAAUUACUUCUGCCUCAACUUCUCAUCCUGUCUUUUUCAUUGCAUUGUUGGAUUUUUAGAGGAGGAGUCACUCACACGUCAUGAUACUGCCACCCUUGCACUGCACAACUGGGAUGGUGCAAGCCUCCGCCUUCAGUCACCAAAUGUAAUGAUGGCCCACUACUGUUUUAUCAGGACAGGCACCUAGGAGUGAAGGAUCUGCGAGGAUAACGACAACACCAGGAGAACCUUUUACAUUAAAGAUGUCUGCAUAGCAGCAAACAACCUCUGACACAAGUUCAGACCUCAUCGCCUCAGUAUGGAGGGUGGGCAGGACUGUGAGUUGCAAUCUAAACUUUGUCUGCAGUUAGAGGUAUCACCUCUUGACCAAAAUGGGCAAGUGUAUUGAUUUUGUGUUUCCUGCUUCAUGAAACUGGAUAUGUGAUGUGAUAUAGAAAUAAAUGGUAUGGUGGAAAUCUCUAUUAUAAAAUAGGAAGAGGGAGGGAGUUAUAGAGCAUUUUAACAACGUGUCGCUUUCAUGGGCUGCAAACUGGUAAAAAAGAAUGAAGCCUCUCAGGAUCUCAGGAAAUGUUUAUGGCAGCAGGGCAACAGCCAAUUCCCCUUCAUGAGUCUUUGUUGUGAGAUGUUGGGAGUCAGUGAGGGAUUCUGCCCAGCAGUUACACUAUUGUCAUCUCUGAUGUAAAGAAUGUGCUUGCAAGACUUUAUUAAAGUACUGAAAUAAAGUGUUAUUGUUAUGCUUUCAUC